GACGAACGCUGGCGGCAUGCCUAACACAUGCAAGUCGAACGAGACCUUCGGGUCUAGUGGCGCACGGGUGCGUAACGCGUGGGAACCUGCCCUUAGGUUCGGAAUAACUCAGAGAAAUUUGAGCUAAUACCGGAUAAUGUCUUCGGACCAAAGAUUUAUCGCCUUUGGAUGGGCCCGCGUAGGAUUAGCUUGUUGGUUGGGUAAUGGCCUACCAAGGCGACGAUUCUUAGCUGGUCUGGGAGGAUGAUCAGCCACACUGGGACUGAGACACCGGCCAGACUCCUACGGGGGGCAGCAGUGGGGAAUAUUGGACAAUGGGCGAAAGCCUGAUCCAGCAAUGCCGCGUGAGUGAUGAAGGCCUUAGGGUUGUAAAGCUCUUUUACCAGGGAUGAUAAUGACAGUACCUGGAGAAUAAGCUCCGGCUAACUCCGUGCCAGCCGCCGCGGUAACAC
rnacentral:rRNA from 1 species